AGCAGUUCUCAGGUAAUUCACCCCGGAAUUGGGCUCCCUCCUCUCUGGUUCUGAGGUGCUGUCACCCAAAAACCGCU
rfam:Myotis davidii contig56434, whole genome shotgun sequence.